rnacentral:rRNA from 1 species
UACGUAGGGUGCAAGCGUUAAUCGGAAUUACUGGGCGUAAAGCGUGCGCAGGCGGUUAUGUAAGACAGAUGUGAAAUCCCCGGGCUCAACCUGGGAACCGCAUUUGUGACUGCAUAGCUAGAGUACGGUAGAGGGGGAUGGAAUUCCGCGUGUAGCAGUGAAAUGCGUAGAUAUGCGGAGGAACACCGAUGGCGAAGGCAAUCCCCUGGACCUGUACUGACGCUCAUGCACGAAAGCGUGGGGAGCAAACAGG